CGUCUAGGCGGAGCAGCAAGUCGGUUGUGAAAUCCCUCGGCUUACCCGAGGAAGUGCACCCGAAACUGCUGUUCUUGAGGACGAGAGGGGAGAGUGGAACUCCUGGUGGAGCGGUGAAAUGCGUAGAUAUCAGGAGGAACGCCGGUGGCGAAAGCGACUCUCUGGCUCGUUCCUGACGCUGAAGCGCGAAAGCUAGGGGAGCGAACG
rnacentral:rRNA from 1 species